rnacentral:ncRNA from 1 species
AAGUCGGGUUACGAUGCAGUGCCCAAUUGCGUGCUAACCUAGAUCCCACAAAGGGUGUUGGUCGAUUAAGACAGCAGGAUGGUGGUCAUGGAAGUCGAAAUCCACUAAGGAGUGUGUAACAACUCACUUGCCGAAUGAACUAGCCCCGAAAAUGGAUGACGCUUAAGCGCUCAACCUAUACUCGGUCGUCAGGGUAAGAGCUAGCUUGCUUUGAG